rnacentral:SRP_RNA from 1 species
UUCUUGGUUUCUCGCAUUGAUAACUUAUUAACCUGGUCAGAGCCGGAAGGCAGCAGCCAUAGUAGGUGAUUCAAGUGCCGAGGGUUAGCUGGGAAGUC